rnacentral:rRNA from 1 species
CCCUUAGAUGUUCUGGGCCGCACGCGCGCUACACUGAUGCAUUCAACGAGUUUCUUCCUGGUCCGAGAGGAAUGGGUAACCUUUUGAAAGUGCAUCGUGAUAGGGAUAGACUAUUGCAAUUAUUGGUCUUCGACGAGGAAUUCCUAGUAGACGUAGUUCAUCAGACUGCAUCGAUUACGUCCCUGCCCUUUGUACACACCGCCCGUCGCUCCUACCGAUUGAAUGCUCAGGUGAGCCAUUCGGACCUUCAUCAUGCCGGUUUCCGGUUUUGAUGAGGGAAAGUCUUGCGAACCUUAUCAUUUAGAGGAAGGAGAAGUCGUAACA